AUGGAAGAGCAUAAACUCAGGUCAUCAGGGAGAUGUUUGUCCAGGGCUUUUGCUGCAUCACCUGGGCCCAUGCAUUGCCUGCAAAAGAGUUCUUUGAGGAUGAACAUUCAAAGACUUCACUGGUCCACGUCCAAAUAUUCAUCUGACAUAAGUGCUGGCAUCAAAAAUGCUAUACCAAGAAACAGUCUGAAGAUACUACACUUCAGUAGGACGUAUAUACAGAAGAGACCUUUGUCAAUUUUCCUCUUCUUCUGCAGUUUUUUGGUUAGAUUCAUGGCCAUGGUUUCAUGGCGAGGAGUUCCCCUGCGAGGUGUGCUGAGCUCUGUGCUCCAUACAAGUGGUGACUGCUCCUAA
rnacentral:lncRNA from 1 species